rnacentral:tRNA from 3 species
GCGGAUGUGGCGGAAUUGGCAGACGCGCUGGAUUUAGGAUCCAGUGCCGCAAGGCGUAUGGGUUCAAGCCCCUUCAUCCGCACCA